rnacentral:tRNA from 1 species
GUUUGGGUGGCAGAGCCCGGUCAAUGCAGAAGAGCUAAAUCCUUUAAACAGGGGUUCAAAUCCCCUCCUGAAUU